CCUACGGGUGGCAGCAGUGGGGAAUAUUGCACAAUGGGGGGAACCCUGAUGCAGCGACGCCGCGUGAAGGAAGAAGUAUUUCGGUAUGUAAACCUCUAUCAGCAGGGAAGAAAAUGACGGUACCUGACUAAGAAGCCCCGGCUAACUACGUGCCAGCAGCCGCGGUAAUACGUAGGGGGCAAGCGUUAUCCGGAUUUACUGGGUGUAAAGGGAGCGUAGGCGGUUGAGCAAGUCAGUAGUGAAAGCCCGGGGCCCAACCCCCGGACUGCUUUUGAAACUGUAGAGCUUGAGUGCAGGAGAGGUAAGUGGAAUUCCUAGUGUAGCGGUGAAAUGCGUAGAUAUUAGGAGGAACACCAGUGGCGAAGGCGGCUUACUGGACUGCAAAUGACGCUGAGGCUCGAAAGCGUGGGGAGCAAACAGGAUUAGAUACCCCGGUAGUC
rnacentral:rRNA from 1 species